GGACAUUAUCACGAAAGCCGAAAAUGCCAACGACGAGGGAUUCAAUCUGGCCCAAGCCGCCUUGAUUUCCCAAGUUGCCGGGACGGCCU
rnacentral:sRNA from 13 species